rnacentral:rRNA from 1 species
AGCAGCCGCGGUAAUUCCAGCUCCAAUAGCGUAUAUUAAAGUUGCUGCAGUUAAAAAGCUCGUAGUUGAAUUUCGGGACUAAUAUGUCGGUCGUGCCUCGGUACGUACUGGCUUAUUGGUUUCUCCUUUCUGAAGAACCAUGAUGUCAUUUAUUUGGUGUCGUGGGGAAUCAGGACUGUUACUUUGAAAAAUUAGAGUGUUUAAAGCAGGCUCACGCUUGAAUACAUUAGCAUGGAAUAAUGAAAUAGGACGUUUGAUUCUAUUUUGUUGGUUUCUAGGAUCGACGUAAUGAUUAAUAGGGAUAGUUGGGGGCAUUAGUAUUCAAUUGUCAGAGGUGAAAUUCUUGGAUUUAUUGAAGACUAACUACUGCGAAAGCAUUUGCCAAGGAUGUUUUCAUUAAUCAAGAACGAAAGUUAGGGGAUCGAAGACGAUCAGAUACCGUCGUAGUCUUAACCAUAACUA